rnacentral:misc_RNA from 1 species
AACUGAUACUACCUGCGGGAACCUGCGGAAGGAUCAUUACAGAGUUUUCUAAACUCCCAAACCCAUGUGAACUUACCAUUGUUGCCUCGGCGGAGCCUACCCUGUAGCUACCCUAUAAGGUGGUUACCCUGUAGCGCCCCGCCGGUGGAUUUUCAAACUCUUGUUAUUUAUAGUAAUCUGAGAGUCUUAUUUUAAAUAAGUCAAAACUUUUAACAAUGGAUCUCUAGAUCGGAAGAGCAC